rnacentral:lncRNA from 1 species
AAAUGCUUAUUGGUGGCUGAAGGUUCCACAUCUCCUGUGUGGCUGCUUGGUGUCUUUGCUCUGGGACUCUUCAAUCUGAGCACUGAUGGAGUUCGGACUUCGCACGACAGAGAAGGACAAUCUCCUCACGUAGUGUUCACACACAGAAAUGGGUUCGACUUCGAUUCUGUACGUAUGAAACUCUACAGUGUAUGCGCAGACCCCGGGCCUGCGGUGUGUCUUCGAUGCAUCCCGUCUUACACUGAACGACCCUCAGUUUUCUGUUCACUAUUUCGCUUAAAAAACAAACCAAAACAAACACUAAAAAAAAAAAAACAACAAACAGAACUCAAAAAAUUCCACCCGAGAGACAUUUUCAUAGCGUAGAAGACAGCUACGAGUUAGUGUUGUGUUUUCUUUGUAAACAGUUUCGUAUGCAAUAUCAUACAUAACCAUGGCUGGCCUUCAGAGCAAUGGAGGAAGCGAUAUUGCUUUAUUUGGGGUUAGGCUGCGCUGAGUGGCAGAGCGGAACGCGGCGGUGGUGCAGCACGAGCCCUCAUUCACACCCACGAUGGAAACAGCGUCGGAGGGGGAAAAAGAAACGCGAACACCUUUCAGGUCAUAUACUGACAGCUACCCAAUGGUUGACUACUCUAGCGAGAUGUGUGACAUUCACCAGCUGAAUGAAUGCUGCUGUACAAUGGAAAAAGAAAAUACAGCAAGAGAGCCAUGCUACCUUAAAGUCCAAGCUACAAAUUCAACUUAGAAUGAGCACCGAUGAGCGUAAGAAACGAAAAAAGGGACAGAUCAGGCUUCGUUUUAAUCGAGCCCAUCACAAACGACUUCUUGUGUUUUAGUGGGGGAGGG